rnacentral:rRNA from 1 species
UACGUAGGGGGCUAGCGUUGUCCGGAAUCAUUGGGCGUAAAGAGCGUGUAGGCGGCCCGGUAAGUCCGCUGUGAAAGUCGGGGGCUCAACCCUCGGAUGCCGGUGGAUACUGUCGGGCUAGAGUGCGGGAGAGGCGAGUGGAAUUCCUGGUGUAGCGGUGAAAUGCGCAGAUAUCAGGAGGAACACCAAUUGCGAAGGCAGCUCGCUGGGACGUAACUGACGCUGAGACGCGAAAGCGUGGGGAGCAAACAGG